rnacentral:piRNA from 1 species
GGGGAUGUCUCGCUUCUGUGGCACAGG